rnacentral:rRNA from 2 species
UACGAAGGGGGCUAGCGUUGCUCGGAAUUACUGGGCGUAAAGGGCGCGUAGGCGGAUGUUUAAGUCAGUGGUGAAAGCCCAGGGCUCAACCUUGGAACUGCCAUUGAUACUGGACAUCUUGAGUGCGGGAGAGGUGAGUGGAACACCGAGUGUAGAGGUGAAAUUCGUAGAUAUUCGGUAGAACACCAGUGGCGAAGGCGACUCACUGGCCCGUAACUGACGCUGAUGCGCGAAAGCGUGGGGAGCAAACAGG